UUUAUGGAGAGUUUGAUCCUGGCUCAGAGUGAACGCUGGCGGCGUGCCUAACACAUGCAAGUCGUGCGAGAUUUUGCAGAGUAUCGCAGAAUUUAGCGGCAAACGGGUGAGUAACACGUAGGAAACCUCCCUCAAAAUGGGGAAUAUCUCCGAGAAAUCGGAGUCAAUACCACAUAAUACCACAGCUUGGCAUCAAGCAAGGGUUAAAGCAGUAAUGCGUUUUGGGAUGGUCCUGCGGACUAUAAGCUAGUUGGUGGGAUUAAGGCCUACCAAGUCUAUGACGGGUAUCCGGCCUGAAAGGGUGAACGGACACACUGGAACUGAGACACGGUCCAGACUCCUACGGGAGGCAGCAGUGGGGAAUUUUGGACAAUGGGGGAAACCCUGAUCCAG
rnacentral:rRNA from 1 species